CAGAGGGCACAGAAGGUUUUGGAUGGGUAUUCAAAGAGGCUAACAGUAGCUUGGCUUUAGAGCUUGGCUACUUCUGCUGCCUGUCUGUGUCAGGUUCCUUCUUUUUCUUUUUUUUUGCAUCUUACAGCCAACAAAAGGAGGGCAACCAUCGAUGAAGUGGAAACAGAUGUGGUGGAGAUAGAGGCAAAGCUUGACAAGCUGGUGAAGCUAUGCAGUGGGAUGAUUGAAGCAGGCAAAGCCUACAUCACCACAAACAAGCACUUUGUCAGCGGAGUCAGGGAUUUGUCACAACAGUGCAAGAAAGAUGAAAUGAUUUCGGAGUGCCUCGACAAAUUUGGGGACAGUCUGCAGGAAAUGAUCAACUAUCACAUGGUAAGUCCCAAACAUCCAGCAUCUGUAAAUCUUAUAGAAGAGGAAGCUGCUUCAUCCAUGGUGGCUCCACGCCAGAACCACAAUUUUGAAGUCUGGAACUCAGUUGAAGUUUAAAGCACAAAUGCUUUAAGGUGGAGGAAGCUUCAGGGUGUCAGCACUGGAUUGACCCACUUUUGUACCACGCUGGCCCUGUCGCAGUGCAUUAGGUGUGAUGCUUGCACUUGGGACACAAGUUAACUGUGUACAGCUGGAGAAGAAGCUGCAUCAAAUCUGUGUGAUUAUUUCAGGAAGCAGGUAGAAGAGUGGUCUGGUGAAGAAUGACAGGGAAAAGAGGUUUUCCAGCUCUCCUGGAAUCAUCAGUAUUCGGGAGCAAACAGUGGCACUGGUGGGGAGAGAUUGAAUUAACCAGUAUGAGCAUCAGCAGAAAGGUGUGCUCCUGUCCACGCAGAGAACAUCAAAUCCUGAUUCUCUGAUAUUGCUGAAUUUCCCUCUGACAACGUGUCCUUUCUGUCAAGGAGGACGUGAGCCCUAGGAGUUGCUCCUCCGUUCCCAGGGAUCACAUCACAGCUGCGCUGCUGGCUGUAGGCUCCCCACGCCAGCUGUGCAGCUUCCCCUGGAUCCCUGCUCUCUGCCAAAAGUGGCACUUCUGGGAUUGUUCUUGCCUCAGCCAACUAAUAAGCAGAAGGACCCUUCCCAGGGCUGCCAAAUUCCCAGCUGAGGUGGUGUAACUCUUCCCAUGCACCCCACCCUUGUCCACAGGGGUGAGUUCCCACUAAAAGUGACGCAGGGGCUAUCACCAGCUGCAUGAAUAAGGGAAAACAUGCUGAAAUCCUCUCUGCCCCUGGCCUGUGGAGAGCAUCUUUCUCCCCUGGCUGCACAGCAAUGUCAGUCCCUCUCCAGGAAAUGGCUUUGGAUUGACUGCUGCAUCUUCCGCGCUGCCAGACGAAGGCUGUUCAAUUAGUGGAGUUAUUUUUAGUGCCUUCUGCCAUCUCCUUUGUGUGUGUGCUUGCGUGUGUGUGGAUGUGUAUCUUGGCUCAUCCAUGUCUGAGGAGCUCAGCUAUGAAGCAGUUGUCAGUGCUUAAUCUAGGCUUUCGGCCAGGACAGUAUGUACAACUGGAACAAGUUAAAAAGAAGGGAAAAUGUCCCAAAAAGUUGGUUGAAAAAGCUUGUUCUAUAACUUUAUUGCUGGAACACUCGGCCAGGAGAUAUCCAGCUUCUAGUUCAGCAGAAUCCAAGAGUAAAACUCUAGCAGAUGAACGCACUGAGCUCCAGAGCAUUACUACCUUUGUCUGAAUCUGCCAAGAGCAAAAAAUCAUCACAGCAUCCUUUGGGAGCCAGAUGACAGAAAAGUGAAUUUAGUUCAGUGGAGCCAAAUCUGCGUUCCGUGCCUUUUUGUACUCUUAGCCACCUGCACUAAUGCCUUCCUCCUUGUCAAAGCAUGCACAGGAGUUAGAAAGCUCCCUGCAGCACUCAUGGGGGAGCAGUUCACAGCCUCCUCCAUGAGAUGUUUGUGCAGUGGGUGGCAGACAGGGAUGCCAGACCCCUGCAGCAACUUUCCUGCACAGCUCGCCAAUGGGAACCAUUCAUUUCCUUUCUCAUGAGCUGAGUGGCAUGAGCUGGAAUUUUGCUGGAGGGGCUGAGGUCUGCCCUGGGAGCCCUCCUCCUUACUGCAUACCACACUGCAGUCAAUAAAUUUUGACUGUGGCUUGCCAAGCUCUUCUGCACUGGGAAAGCUCCUUGCUUGUCUACAGACAGAUGCUUGCCAUCAGCUCCAGAACCUGUUUGUUUUUUGCUCACCUCCUUCCUUCCUCCUUCUCAACCUCCCCAAAGCACAAAACAAGUUGAAGGGCAUCAGCAAUCUGCCAGACAGCACAUGAGAAAAUGACUUUUCUCUCUUUUUAUGCAAUGUGUUAUGAAUGUAAUUAAGUAUUACAAGCUAUCCCUGUAGGUAAAGCAGCACAAAGUUGCCUACCAGGUCCAGAAGGGUAGCUUAUAAUUAUUUGCCACUGAACUUAUACUGUAAGGCCAAGGCAUUGGUGCUUGGAAUUACAGCAGUGCAGAAACUCCUGAUUUUGUUUUCACCCCACUGCCAAAAAAAAAACCCCAUAGACUUCAAGUUGAUCUUUUUGCUCCCAAAACUUCAGGUUAGGUUGGAGUUCACUGCAGUGCUCCCGGCUGUUUUUUCCACUGCAUCAGGAGGUGAAAUCAGUUGUGAAGUGGGAUGGCAUUGGAGUGUUUAUAAUCAUUAUUACAUGGUGCAGGGAGCUGUGAGCUGGAGAGAUGGGAAGAUUUCCUAUUCACAUGCUCGAGAUGAAAGCACUUGGGGUCAGGAAGGAACUCUCUCUGGGUAUUGCUCUGCCUUCCUCUUAGGGGCACAUUUCCUUCCUGAGGGCCACCUGGAUAUUUACGCUGGAAGAAUUCCUUGCUAUUUCAGGAACUUGGGUUUUCUACUGAUGCCAUUGGUUUCUUUUUUGUCCUUUGUACUCAAGGCAGCCCUCUGCAGCCUGUGGAGAAGGGAGGGCAUGUUCUCUGGAUUUCCUAGCUUGACCCAGGGAAUUCCUAACAGCAACCCAAACCCAGGUGAAAGGCUUGAGUCACCAGAACCAGUGAGAAAGAUUUACUGAAGGAAUCAGUGCCAAGAGCAAACGUGGAAAGAACCUUCUGAAAGGGACAGUCCCGGUGACACUGUCAUUCACAAAAGCAGUUUUGUUCCAUGAACCAUCUUGGGCCUUUUCAAGACCUCACAAAAUAUCUGAAAGCAUUCUAUGUUGAUAUUUCACAUUCCAUUUCAGUAUUAAUCCCAAAGGCACACGGGAAUGUGACUAACUGUACUUACAUGGCCCACUGCUGUACUAACAGUGCAGGACAUGGGGUGUGUGUGUGGGGAAGGGGCUAUGGGCUAGCUAUCUAGGGCUGCUAGAGCUGGUAAAA